CAAACUGCACCUGUCAUAAAGAAGAUGAAGACUCACCAGUGUCCACAGUGUCCGAAGGAACACCACUUGAAUAUGGCGUUGCUUGUGUGGGUGUGGCGGCGAAGUGAUCUGGCUGCAGCGGUGCGACCCAUCGUGGCUGAACUGAUUUAUGUGCUGGAUGAUCCCGGAAGCGCCUUAGUCGUACCUUAGCGUGCAUCUUAGCCCAGAUUCAAGUUCGAACCCUCAUUACGGCCUUUGUGGAUUUGUUCAUUAAAUGUAUAAUGAUAUUGUGAUUUCUGUAUCACAAGUGAUGUUCUUUUCCUUAAGAAUGUAUUCCAUGAUUUGUAUACAGAUAAAGGUUUGAUUGAUAACAGUUGUGUACCUCAACUUGUCUUGAUAAUAAACAAUAAAAGUAUA
rnacentral:lncRNA from 1 species